rnacentral:misc_RNA from 1 species
UAUAAUAUAAGAAAUUCAUGAUCCCCUUCUCAAGGGAUUUGACAAACUCUGGAUGCAUAGCCCCACCAACAAGAAAAACCUCUGGUACCAAAUUGUUACCUCCAAACCAAUGGUAUUUCAUAGAUAUUACCACUUCAAUUUCAUUUCCUAAGAAACAUUCAAGUGAACCCUCAAAUGGUGAAUUUUAUUUCUGUUUGGUUAAAAAUCUUUGUCCUUGCAUUGAGUUUUCCAAUAAAUUCCAUGGAACUAGAAAACAUAAGAGAUCAACUUAAUGUUGACUUCAUGCAAAAACCAAAAAUUCAAGCAUGGAGAUAUUACCAUAUUG